CCUUCGCGCUUCGUUUCAGGUGCCCCGCCAGCCAUCGCUGGGCAGGGUGAAACUGGGAAGCCGGUGGGCGCUGUCGUGGCGCGAGUCCGGCGCUGCCCCCGCAACGGUAAGCGAGUCGAGAUCAGGCAAGGCCACUGGGCAUUCACCCGGGAAGGCGCCUGAGGGCCCAUCGGGCCGCGCGCGAGCCCGGAGACCGGCCUGUCACUGCCAAACGGC
rnacentral:ncRNA from 1 species